rnacentral:rRNA from 1 species
AGUGAACGCUGGCGGCGUGCUUAACACAUGCAAGUCGAACGAGAACGGAUUAUAGCUUGCUAUAACUGUCAGCUAAGUGGCGCACGGGUGAGUAAUGUAUAGAUAACCUGCCCUCUAGAAAGGAAUAACAGUUGGAAACGACUGCUAAUGCCCUAUAUGCCUUUAAUACAUAAGUAUGCAAGGGAAACGCUUUAGUGCUAGAGGAUGGGUCUGUAUGGUAUCAGUUAGUUGGUGAGGUAAUGGCUCACCAAGACUAUGACGCCUAACUGGUUUGAGAGGAUGAUCAGUCACACUGGAACUGAGACACGGUCCAGACUCCUACGGGAGGCAGCAGUGGGGAAUAUUGCACAAUGGACGAAAGUCUGAUGCAGCAACGCCGCGUGGAGGAUGACACAUUUCGGUGCGUAAACUCCUUUUAUAUAGGAAGAUAAUGACGGUACUAUAUGAAUAAGCACCGGCUAACUCCGUGCCAGCAGCCGCGGUAA